GGUUAAGCGACUAAGCGUACACGGUGGAUGCCCUGGCAGUCAGAGGCGAUGAAGGACGUGCUAAUCUGCGAAAAGCGUCGGUAAGGUGAUAUGAACCGUUACAGCCGGCGAUGUCCGAAUGGGGAAACCCAGUGCAAUUCGUUGCACUAUCGUUAACUGAAUACAUAGGUUAACGAGGCGAACCGGGGGAACUGAAACAUCUAAGUACCCCGAGGAAAAGAAAUCAACCGAGAUUCCCCCAGUAGCGGCGAGCGAACGGGGAGCAGCCCAGAGUCUGAAUCAGCUUGUGUGUUAGUGGAACGGUCUGGAAAGUCCGACGGUACAGGGUGAUAGUCCCGUACACCAAAAUGCACAGGCUGUGAACUCGAAGAGUAGGGCGGGACACGUGGUAUCCUGUCUGAAUAUGGGGGGACCAUCCUCCAAGGCUAAAUACUCCUGACUGACCGAUAGUGAACCAGUACCGUGAGGGAAAGGCGAAAAGAACCCGGCGAGGGGAGUGAAAAAGAACCUGAAACCGUGUACGUACAAGCAGUGGGAGCACCUUCGGGUGUGACUGCGUACCUUUUGUAUAAUGGGUCAGCGACUUAUAUUCUGUAGCAAGGUUAACCGUAUAGGGGAGCCGCAGGGAAACCGAGUCUUAACUGGGCGUUAAGUUGCAGGGUAUAGACCCGAAACCCGGUGAUCUAGCCAUGGGCAGGUUGAAGGUUGGGUAACACUAACUGGAGGACCGAACCGACUAAUGUUGAAAAAUUAGCGGAUGACUUGUGGCUGGGGGUGAAAGGCCAAUCAAACCGGGAGAUAGCUGGUUCUCCCCGAAAGCUAUUUAGGUAGCGCCUCGUGAACUCAUCUUCGGGGGUAGAGCACUGUUUCGGCUAGGGGGUCAUCCCGACUUACCAACCCGAUGCAAACUACGAAUACCGAAGAAUGUUAUCACGGGAGACACACGGCGGGUGCUAACGUCCGUCGUGAAGAGGGAAACAACCCAGACCGCCAGCUAAGGUCCCAAAGUCAUGGUUAAGUGGGAAACGAUGUGGGAAGGCACAGACAGCCAGGAUGUUGGCUUAGAAGCAGCCAUCAUUUAAAGAAAGCGUAAUAGCUCACUGGUCGAGUCGGCCUGCGCGGAAGAUGUAACGGGGCUAAACCAUGCACCGAAGCUGCGGCAGCGACACUAUGUGUUGUUGGGUAGGGGAGCGUUCUGUAAGCCUGCGAAGGUGUGCUGUGAGGCAUGCUGGAGGUAUCAGAAGUGCGAAUGCUGACAUAAGUAACGAUAAAGCGGGUGAAAAGCCCGCUCGCCGGAAGACCAAGGGUUCCUGUCCAACGUUAAUCGGGGCAGGGUGAGUCGACCCCUAAGGCGAGGCCGAAAGGCGUAGUCGAUGGGAAACAGGUUAAUAUUCCUGUACUUGGUGUUACUGCGAAGGGGGGACGGAGAAGGCUAUGUUAGCCGGGCGACGGUUGUCCCGGUUUAAGCAUGUAGGCUGGUUGUCCAGGCAAAUCCGGAUAAUCAAGGCUGAGGUGUGAUGACGAGGCACUACGGUGCUGAAGUAACAAAUGCCCUGCUUCCAGGAAAAGCCUCUAAGCAUCAGGUAACAUCAAAUCGUACCCCAAACCGACACAGGUGGUCAGGUAGAGAAUACCAAGGCGCUUGAGAGAACUCGGGUGAAGGAACUAGGCAAAAUGGUGCCGUAACUUCGGGAGAAGGCACGCUGGUGUGUAGGUGAAGUCCCUGCGGAUGGAGCUGAGACCAGUCGAAGAUACCAGCUGGCUGCAACUGUUUAUUAAAAACACAGCACUGUGCAAACACGAAAGUGGACGUAUACGGUGUGACGCCUGCCCGGUGCCGGAAGGUUAAUUGAUGGGGUUAUCCGUAAGGAGAAGCUCUUGAUCGAAGCCCCGGUAAACGGCGGCCGUAACUAUAACGGUCCUAAGGUAGCGAAAUUCCUUGUCGGGUAAGUUCCGACCUGCACGAAUGGCGUAAUGAUGGCCAGGCUGUCUCCACCCGAGACUCAGUGAAAUUGAACUCGCUGUGAAGAUGCAGUGUACCCGCGGCAAGACGGAAAGACCCCGUGAACCUUUACUAUAGCUUGACACUGAACAUUGAGCCUUGAUGUGUAGGAUAGGUGGGAGGCUUUGAAGCGUGGACGCCAGUCUGCGUGGAGCCAACCUUGAAAUACCACCCUUUAAUGUUUGAUGUUCUAACGUUGGCCCCUGACCGGGGUUGCGGACAGUGUCUGGUGGGUAGUUUGACUGGGGCGGUCUCCUCCCAAAGCGUAACGGAGGAGCACGAAGGUUAGCUAAUCCUGGUCGGACAUCAGGAGGUUAGUGCAAUGGCAUAAGCUAGCUUGACUGCGAGCGUGACGGCGCGAGCAGGUGCGAAAGCAGGUCAUAGUGAUCCGGUGGUUCUGAAUGGAAGGGCCAUCGCUCAACGGAUAAAAGGUACUCCGGGGAUAACAGGCUGAUACCGCCCAAGAGUUCAUAUCGACGGCGGUGUUUGGCACCUCGAUGUCGGCUCAUCACAUCCUGGGGCUGAAGUAGGUCCCAAGGGUAUGGCUGUUCGCCAUUUAAAGUGGUACGCGAGCUGGGUUUAGAACGUCGUGAGACAGUUCGGUCCCUAUCUGCCGUGGGCGCUGGAGAAUUGAGGGGGGCUGCUCCUAGUACGAGAGGACCGGAGUGGACGCAUCACUGGUGUUCGGGUUGUCAUGCCAAUGGCACUGCCCGGUAGCUAAAUGCGGAAGAGAUAAGUGCUGAAAGCAUCUAAGCACGAAACUUGCCCCGAGAUGAGUUCUCCCUGAGACUUUAAGUCUCCUGAAGGAACGUUGAAGACGACGACGUUGAUAGGCCGGGUGUGUAAGCGCAGCGAUGCGUUGAGCUAACCGGUACUAAUGAACCGUGAGGCUUAACCUU
rnacentral:rRNA from 1 species